GAUGAACGCUGGCGGCGUGCUUAACACAUGCAAGUCGAACGAGAAGUGGAGACGGAAACCUUCGGGCGGAAGACUUUAUUUCGAGUGGCGGACGGGUGAGUAACGCGUGGGUAACCUGCCUCAUACAGGGGGAUAACAGUUGGAAACGACUGUUAAUACCGCAUAAGACCACAGCACCGCAUGGUGCGGGGGUAAAAACUCCGGUGGUAUGAGAUGGACCCGCGUUCGAUUAGCCAGUUGGCGGGGUAACGGCCCACCAAAGCGACGAUCGAUAGCCGAUCUGAGAGGAUGACAGGCCACAUUGGGACUGAGACACGGCCCAAACUCCUACGGGAGGCAGCAGUGGGGAAUAUUGCACAAUGGGGGAAACCCUGAUGCAGCGACGCCGCGUGAGUGAAGAAGUAUUUCGGUAUGUAAAGCUCUAUCAGCAGGGAAGAAAAUGACGGUACCUGAGUAAGAAGCCCCGGCUAACUACGUG
rnacentral:rRNA from 1 species